GAUGAACGCUGGCGGCGUGCUUAACACAUGCAAGUCGAACGGAAAGGCCCAAGCUUGCUUGGGUACUCGAGUGGCGAACGGGUGAGUAACACGUGGGUGAUCUGCCCUGCACUUCGGGAUAAGCCUGGGAAACUGGGUCUAAUACCGGAUAGGACGAUGGUUUGGAUGCCAUUGUGGAAAGUUUUUUCGGUGUGGGAUGAGCUCGCGGCCUAUCAGAUUGUUGGUGGGGUAAUGGCCUACCAAGGCGUCGACGGGUAGCCGGGCUGAGAGGGUGUACGGGGACAUUGGGGCUGAGAUACGGCCCAGACUCCUACGGGAGGCAGAAGUGGGGAAUAUUGCACAAUGGGGGCAAGCCUGAUGCAGCGACGCCGCGUGGGGGAUGACGGCCUUCGGGUUGUAAACUCCGUUCGCUAGGGACGAAGCGUUUUUGUGACGGUACCUGGAGAAGAAGCACCGGCUAACUACGUG
rnacentral:rRNA from 1 species